GACGAACGCUGGCGGCGUGCCUAAUACAUGCAAGUCGAGCGAAUCAAUAGGAGCUUGCUCCUGUUGGUUAGCGGCGGACGGGUGAGUAACACGUGGGCAACCUGCCUGUAAGACUGGGAUAACACCGGGAAACCGGUGCUAAUACCGGAUAAUCCUUUUCCUCUCAUGAGGAAAAGCUGAAAGUCGGUUUCGGCUGACACUUACAGAUGGGCCCGCGGCGCAUUAGCUGGUUGGUGAGGUAACGGCUCACCAAGGCGACGAUGCGUAGCCGACCUGAGGGGGUGAUCGGCCACACUGGGACUGAGACACGGCCCAGACUCCUACGGGAGGCAGCAGUAGGGAAUCUUCCACAAUGGACGAAAGUCUGAUGGAGCAACGCCGCGUGAGCGAUGAAGGCCUUCGGGUCGUAAAGCUCUGUUGUUAGGGAAGAACAAGUACCGGAGUAACUGCCGGUACCUUGACGGUACCUAACCAGAAAGCCACGGCUAACUACGUGCCAGCAGCCGCGGUAACAC
rnacentral:rRNA from 1 species